GAGUUUGAUCCUGGCUCAGAACGAACGCUGGCGGCGUGCCUAAUACAUGCAAGUCGAGCGAGAAAGUCUCUUCGGAGAUGAGUAAAGCGGCGUACGGGUGAGUAACACGUGGGCAAUCUGCCCUCGAGUCUGGGAUAACCCGGGGAAACUCGGGCUAAUACCGGAUACGGCUGCGGGGUCUUUGGACCCUGUGGAGAAAGAUGGCCUCUUCUCGAAAGCUAUCUCUCGAGGAUGAGCCCGCGUCCUAUUAGCUAGUUGGUGGGGUAACGGCUCACCAAGGCAAAGAUGGGUAGCUGGUCUGAGAGGAUGACCAGCCACACUGGAACUGAGACACGGUCCAGACUCCUACGGGAGGCAGCAGUAGGGAAUUUUGGGCAAUGGGCGAAAGCCUGACCCAGCAACGCCGCGUGUGGGAUGAAGGCCCUCGGGUCUUAAACCACUGUCAGGAGGAAAGAAAAGUCGGCCGGGUAAUAUUCGGUCGACCUGACGGUACCUCCAAAGGAAGCACCGGCUAACUCCGUGCCAGCAGCCGCGGUAAUACGGAGGGUGCAAGCGUUGUUCGGAAUUACUGGGCGUAAAGCGCGUGUAGGUGGUCGAGUAAGUCGAAUGUGAAAGCCCCGGGCUCAACCCGGGAAGUGCAUCC
rnacentral:rRNA from 1 species